rnacentral:rRNA from 1 species
CCUACGGGGGGCUGCAGUGGGGAAUAUUGGACAAUGGGGGCAACCAUGAUCCAGCAAUGCCGCGUGAGUGAAGAAGGCCUUCGGGUUGUAAAGCUCUUUUAUCAGGGACGAUAAUGACGGUACCUGAGGAAUAAGCUCCGGCUAACUUCGUGCCAGCAGCCGCGGUAAUACGAAGGGAGCUAGCGUUGUUCGGAAUUACUGGGCGUAAAGGGCGCGUAGGCGGUUAAAUAAGUCAGAUGUGAAAGCCUUGGGCUUAACCUGAGAACGGCAUUUGAUACUGUUUGACUAGAGGACGAGAGAGGAAAGUGGAAUUACGAGUGUAGAGGUGAAAUUCGUAGAUAUUCGUAAGAACACCAGUGGCGAAGGCGACUUUCUGGCUCGUAUCUGACGCUAAGGCGCGAAAGCGUGGGGAGCAAACAGGAUUAGAUACCCCUGUAGUC